rnacentral:rRNA from 1 species
UUGACCUCGAAUCAGGUAGGAAUACCCGCUGAACUUAAGCAUAUCAAUAAGCGGAGGAAAAGAAACCAACCGGGAUUACCUCAGUAACGGCGAGUGAAGCGGUAACAGCUCAAAUUUGAAAUCUGGCUCCUUCGGAGUCCGAGUUGUAAUUUGUAGAAGAUGCUUUGGGUUGUGGGUUCGGCCUAAGUUCCUUGGAACAGGACGUCAUAGAGGGUGAGAAUCCCGUACGUGGCCGAGGCCUGCGCCUAUGUAAAGCUCUUUCGACGAGUCGAGUUGUUUGGGAAUGCAGCUCAAAAUGGGUGGUAAAUUUCAUCUAAAGCUAAAUAUGGGCCAGAGACCGAUAGCGCACAAGUAGAGUGAUCGAAAGAUGAAAAGCACUUUGGAAAGAGAGUUAAACAGUACGUGAAAUUGUUGAAAGGGAAGCGCUUGCAACCAGACUUGCGCGCUGCCGAUCACCCCGAGUUCUCUCGAGUGCACUUGACAGCGCACAGGCCAGCAUCGGUUCGGGUGGCUGGAUAAAGGCCGUAGGAAUGUAGCUCCUCUCGGGGAGUGUUAUAGCCUACGGUGCCAUGCAGCCCAGCCGGACCGAGGACCGCGCCUUCGGGCUAGGAUGCUGGCGUAAUGGUUGUAAGCGACCCGUCUUGAAACACGGACCAAGGAGUCUAACAUCUAUGCGAGUGUUUGGGCGUU